rnacentral:ncRNA from 17 species
GUAAAGAGACCUACGGCAAAGCAGGUUUUUACUAUACUAGAUUUGCCUCGCGCUCAGAGUCGCCAAACUUUGAGAGCGUGGGGCUUUUU